rnacentral:rRNA from 1 species
AUCAACUUUCGAUGGUAGGAUAGAGGCCUACCAUGGUGGUAACGGGUGACGGGGUGUUAGGGCACGACACCGGAAAGGGAGCCUGAGAAACGGCUACCACAUCCAAGGAUGGCAGCAGGCGCGCAAAUUACCCAAUCCCGACACGGGGAGGUAGUGACAAUAAAUAACAAUACGGGGUUCUUUCGGAUUUCGUAAUUGGAAUGAGUACAAUUUAAAUCUCUUAACGAGGAACAAUUGGAGGGCAAGUCUGGUGCCAGCAGCCGCGGUAAUUCCAGCUCCAAUAGCGUAUAUUAAAGUUGCUGCAGUUAAAAAGCUCGUAGUUGAAUUUCGGGACCAUCAUGUCGGUCGUGCCUCGGUACGUACUGGUAUUGUUGGUUUCUCCCUUCUGACGAACCAUGAUGUCAUUUAUUUGGUGUUGUGGGGAAUCAGGACUGUUACUUUGAAAAAAUUAGAGUGUUUAAAGCAGGCAUUUUUGCUUGAAUACAUUAGCAUGGAAUAAUAAAAUAGGACGGCAUGGUUCUAUUUUGUUGGUUUCUAGGACCACCGUAAUGAUUAAUAGGGAUAGUUGGGGGCAUUAGUAUUCAAUUGUCAGAGGUGAAAUUCUUGGAUUUAUUGAAGACUAACUACUGCGAAAGCAUUUGCCAAGGAUGUUUUCAUUAAUCAAGAACGAAAGUUAGGGGAUCGAAGACGAUCAGAUACCGUCGUAGUCUUAACCAUAAACUAUGCCGACUAGGAAUCAGACGAUGUUAAUUUUUUAAUGACUCGUUUGGCACCUUACGGGAAACCAAAGUGUUUGGGUUC